GAUGAACGCUGGCGGCGUGCCUAAUACAUGCAAGUCGAGCGAACGGACGAGAAGCUUGCUUUUCUGAUGUUAGCGGCGGACGGGUGAGUAACACGUGGAUAACCUACCUAUAAGACUGGGAUAACUUCGGGAAACCGGAGCUAAUACCGGAUAAUAUUUUGAACCGCAUGGUUCAAAAGUGAAAGACGGUCUUGCUGUCACUUAUAGAUGGAUCCGCGCUGCAUUAGCUAGUUGGUAAGGUAACGGCUUACCAAGGCAACGAUGCAUAGCCGACCUGAGAGGGUGAUCGGCCACACUGGAACUGGGACACGGUCCAGACUCCUGCGAGAGGCAGCAGUAGGGAAUCUUCCGCAAUGGGCGAAAGCCUGACGGAGCAACGCCGCGUGAGUGAUGAAGGUCUUCGGAUCGUAAAACUCUGUUAUUAGGGAAGAACAUAUGUGUAAGUAACUGUGCACAUCUUGACGGUACCUAAUCAGAAAGCCACGGCUAACUACGUGC
rnacentral:rRNA from 1 species